UAGAUCUUUGUCUAUUCUGUUGUAAGUAUAUCUCCGCCAUUAUCAUUCAACAAGACAGAUCCACGUAAAAGAAGCCAUUUUCAAAAUAUGGCUGCCCCCUGGUAGCAUAAUGGCGUUCCCUCGAUCAAAACAAACAACGCAAACUGUCAACGAAUUCAUCAAUAAUAAAAAAUUAGAGGACUUUAUUAAUUUCUUUGAGAAACGCAUUUGGAAACUACAGUAUUGAUUCGACAUCACCGGAAGACCCUUCCUCGAUGGACCAGGGCUUGACUCGACAUAAAUAUCGUUCUCUGGAACUGGGAUUUGAUCAUAUACGCUUAGUGGAUCACUACCGACGAUUUCCUCUUGCGUCUGUAGUAUGAUUUCUUCGCGUCCUGGCUCUGGAAGAGUUUGAAGAGCUAUCAUCGGCUGCCCAUCUUCUCCUUCGAUUGUAGUUUCCACAGUCUCACAGGGUAUUUCUACUGGUAUUGUUUCUAUUUCAACCUCUUGGAUAUCUGGUUGAAUCUCCACUUCGGUUAUUAUGUCCGAGGACGCCAUAUUAAUCUCCGCUGACGCCAUGUUACUAAUCAAAA